rnacentral:sRNA from 1 species
UAAAUUCGGUUGUCAAUUUUGUCAUUUGCAUAUGUCGAUUUGUAAGUUAUAAGUAAUAGAUUGUUGUGAAUCAAGCAAUUUUAUAAUAUAUUUAUUAUAAUAAAGAAAUUUUAGUAACGCGCUUAAAAUAGAUGCUUAAUUAAAAAGUAAUAAGUUUUAUUUGAACGGAAAUAAAUCUUAAUUUAAACACUUGAAUAGACAAGUGUAAUCAUUCGUCAUAGAAAAAGACGAGGGGCGAUUUAGAUAAAUUGUUGAAAG